rnacentral:rRNA from 1 species
AUUGAACGCUGGCGGCAUGCCUUACACAUGCAAGUCGAACGGUAACAGGCCGCAAGGUGCUGACGAGUGGCGAACGGGUGAGUAAUAUAUCGGAACGUGCCCAGUAGUGGGGGAUAACUGCUCGAAAGAGCAGCUAAUACCGCAUACGACCUGAGGGUGAAAGGGGGGGAUCGCAAGACCUCUCGCUAUUGGAGCGGCCGAUAUCAGAUUAGCUAGUUGGUGGGGUAAAGGCCUACCAAGGCAACGAUCUGUAGUUGGUCUGAGAGGACGACCAGCCACACUGGGACUGAGACACGGCCCAGACUCCUACGGGAGGCAGCAGUGGGGAAUUUUGGACAAUGGGCGCAAGCCUGAUCCAGCAAUGCCGCGUGCAGGAAGAAGGCCUUCGGGUUGUAAACUGCUUUUGUCAGGGAAGAAAUCCUCUAGGUUAAUACCCUUGGGGGGAUGACGGUACCUGAAGAAUAAGCACCGGCUAACUACGUGCCAGCCGCCGCCGUAACAC